GUGAGAUAACAGGUGUCACGGUUCCUGGCUGUGUGGUAAGAGUUAAAAACUCAGACCUGCUGUUUACUUCCUAAUCAAUGUGCGCCACGAAUUGCAGAUGCCCAGGAGGCAUCCCGUGGAGUGUGUGUACACCUGAGCCUGGCGAAGACACACCCCCAACUACCACCACCUGGGGCUGAGGAUCAGAUCUGUAGACUCUCCGUGCAGUAGCGAUCAGAGCUUGAUGAGCCCCCUCCUGGCUGCACUGGAGUGUCAGGAACCAGACCCUAGCAGAGCUCAGCACCCAGCUCCUUUGUCUCGCCCGCCCCCUCGUCCCCACUUCCUGCCCAGCUUCUAGCUAGCGAUCUGCGAUGCGGCACGGACUUUGUAAACACGCCGCGCCUGUGGGGUGGACGCCUGUUGUGUUUGGGUGCCGCGGAAGCGGGGUGCACGCCCCUGUCCUGUCCGUGCUGGCGGCUGUGAUCACGCCUACUGUCCAAAAACAGAUCUCCAGCAGCUGGAGAGAACGUGAGGCCGCCAUCCGAGCUUCGGGGGACUCAACUGCCAAGAGCCCUGAGCCCUGAAAGCUUCUGGAAGGAAGUUGUGGACCAGCAGACCUUCAGGAGGAGAAAGGAGAAGGAUGGCAGUGCUGCCAGAUGGUGCUGCAGCAAGUCUGUGGAAUUCAUUUAAGUAGACAAAAUUCUGGAGCCGGGUUUCCCUGGACUGACAGUGAGGUCUCUUCAACUACCACUGUGCUUCAGUUUGGUGGUCUGCAAAAUAAAGACCUGGAAUGCACCUUGAGGUAGGAGCGACCCAGAUAUGCAGCUAUUAACAUUCCCUGGAGCAGUGAAGUAGGGUGCAAACGUGAAUGAAUGGAUAACUUUGGGCGAGUAAUUCUUUCCU
rnacentral:lncRNA from 1 species